UGAUAAUUAGAUCAGAGACUGACAUGGGCGGAGGCAAAUGCUGGAAACCACAAUCUAAACUUUGUUCCCAUAAAAACUCUUGGCUAAUUUGCAAGUGAUGCACGGAGUCCAGUUGAGCUGUACUCGGCCAUGGAAAAAGAAAGAGGAGAAGGAGUUCACCCUCCGCUUGCAGAGGGAUGGUGUGUCCCCUGAGGCUUCAGUAGAGGAGCGUGAGCUCCACCUGUGGCAUUUGCUCCAGUGCAGUGAGGGCAGCCUGAGCGCAGCCACUGAAGACCUGCAGACUUUACGCACCCAGCAGGCCAGCGAGAUGAUAGAGGUGGAAAAUUACAUGGAGCAUAUUCGAAACAUGCUGGAGGAGCGGGAAUCUCUUACAGCAGAGUACGAACGUGACAGCGAACAGCUCCGUGCUGAGCUCACUCUAAUGAAACACCAACAGGACUCUCAGUGUAAGGAGGUGGUGGAGAUGCUGGAGCAGGAGGGUCUAGCAGAGAUCAGUCAGAGCAGUGCCAGUGAGCAGGUGGCCUAUCUGCUGGUGGAGAGAGUCACUCUGCUGGAGAGACUGGAGGCUGCGGAAAGAAAACUGGACACCCAGACCCUUACCGGCAACCUCAGAGAGGUGCAUCUACAGGAAGAGCUGGAUCAUAUGCGUCACACAACAGAAGAGGAACUCAGGCAGCAAAAGGAAAACAUGAAUGAGGCCCACAGUGAAGAGGUCAAUAAAGAAUGCACAGUGUGCCAGAGGCUGGAGAGGGAUCUGGAAGAGGCAUAA
rnacentral:lncRNA from 1 species